rnacentral:lncRNA from 1 species
AGGAGGGACAGGGAGACAUGAUGCCCCCAGCCCAGGGGACUAGGUGUCCUCUUGCUGCCUCCAGGGGGCCCCAUCCUGGGUCCUUCCCAGGCUCCCUGGGAAUGGAGCUGCAGGUGUGGACAGUGGCCUUGGCUUGCAUCCUGGAGGACACUGAGCGUGGUUAACAGUUUCCCAACUGUGGUCAGGGCCGGGACAUCAAGGACAAGUACUACUCGAAGGCUGCCUGAUCGCUGCCGAUUAGUAAAAACUGCAUGGCACCCUCUUUGUUCCAACCACAGAGAUCACACUGCUGACCGUUUUUGAGCUGAAUUGUAUGUUUUCCAUUGGAAGACAAAAAUCCCAAGGCCUGGCACACAGGAGAUGCCCAAGACCUGGUGCUGCCACCCUUCUCUUCACUCAGUGUGCACCACAGCUGCCCACCAUGCCUGCUGCAGUAAGACCACCACCACCACUGAUCUCGGCCCAGGGCUUGAACACACCCGUAUCACCCAGCCGCUGCUCCAGCUCCUGCAGGAUGCCCUGGUGCAGCGUGUGGAUGGCAGGCAGCCUCGUCCAGGCCCCGCCCGAAGCUCCUCCUGGGCCCGCACAUCCUCCACAUCGUCCAGGGCCUUCGUGACGGCAGAGUGGAAAUCCUGAAACCCGGAAGCCAGUGACCCACAGGCACAGCUGCCCCAGCCUCAGACAGGGCACAUGUGGGCUGUGGGGACCCAGUCCCACGUGCCCACCUAUUGGGACACACCUGCCCAGACCCUGAGCCUGAGCCUGACCUUGACCCUAACCCUGACCUGGACCUAGUGCCCCCUUGGUCCAGCCGUGUGUUGGUGACAGGAGAGUGAGAAACCGGAAAUUUCCUUCCCUAAAGACACACAAACUUCUUCCUUUCAAUUUACUCACUUUGUUUUUUUCAGUCCUAGGGACUGAACCCAAGGCCUUCACCUGAGCUACAGCCACAGCCCUUUUCAAAUUUAGUGACAGGGUCUUAUUUAGUUGCCCAGGCUGGGCUUGA